AACGAACGCUGGCGGCGUGGAUAAGACAUGCAAGUCGAACGGGACAGACCGAGUAGCAAUAUUUGGAAUGUUCAGUGGCGAACGGGUGCGUAACACGUGGAUAACAUUCCGGAAAGCGGGGAAUAGCCCAGGGAAACUUGGAUUAAUACCGCAUGUGGCCGCAAGGCUAAAGACGGGGACCGCAAGGCCUGUCACUUUCCGAUUGGUCCGCGGCCUAUCAGCUAGUUGGCGGGGUAAUGGCCCACCAAGGCUACGACGGGUAGCUGGUCUUAGAGGACGACCAGCCACUGGAACUGAGACACGGUCCAGACACCUACGGGUGGCAGCAGUCGAGAAUCUUUCACAAUGGGGGCAACCCUGAUGGAGCGACGCCGCGUGGAGGAUAAGGUCUUCGGAUUGUAAACUCCUGUCAUGCGAGAACAAGGUACUCAGGCUAAUAACCUGAUUGUUUGAUGGUACCGCAAGUGGAAGAGACGGCUAACUCUGUGCCAGCCGCCGCAGUAACAC
rnacentral:rRNA from 1 species